UACGGAGGAUCCGAGCGUUAUCCGGAUUUAUUGGGUUUAAAGGGUGCGUAGGCGGCCUGGUAAGUCAGGGGUGAAAGACGGUAGCUUAACUAUCGCAGUGCCCUUGAUACUGCUGGGCUUGAAUGUAGUUGAGGUAGGCGGAAUGUGACAAGUAGCGGUGAAAUGCAUAGAUAUGUCACAGAACACCAAUUGCGAAGGCAGCUUACUAAAGUAUGAUUGACGCUGAGGCACGAAAGCGCGGGGAUCAAACAGG
rnacentral:rRNA from 1 species